UGAGGAAUAUUGGUCAAUGGACGCAAGUCUGAACCAGCCAAGUAGCGUGCAGGAUGACGUCCCUAUGGGUUGUAAACUGCUUUUAUAUGGGGAUAAAGUGGGGAACGUGUUCCCUUUUGCAGGUACCAUAUGAAUAAGGACCGGCUAAUUCCGUGCCAGCAGCCGCGGUAAUACGGAAGGUUCGGGCGUUAUCCGGAUUUAUUGGGUUUAAAGGGAGCGUAGGCUGUUUGUUAAGCGUGUUGUGAAAUGUAGGAGCUCAACUUUUAGAUUGCAGCGCGAACUGGCAGACUUGAGUGCGCACAACGUAGGCGGAAUUCAUGGUGUAGCGGUGAAAUGCUUAGAUAUCAUGACGAACUCCGAUUGCGAAGGCAGCUUACGGGAGCGCAACUGACGCUAAAGCUCGAAGGUGCGGGUAUCGAACAGG
rnacentral:rRNA from 1 species